rnacentral:rRNA from 1 species
UACGUAGGGGGCAAGCGUUGUCCGGAAUCAUUGGGCGUAAAGAGCGUGUAGGCGGCCCGAUAAGUCCGCUGUGAAAGUCCAGGGCUCAACCCUGGAAUGCCGGUGGAUACUGUCGGGCUCGAAUCCGGAAGAGGUCGAGUGGAAUUCCUGGUGUAGCGGUGAAAUGCGCAGAUAUCAGGAGGAACACCAAUGGCGAAGGCAGCUCACUGGGACGGUAUUGACGCUGAGACGCGAAAGCGUGGGGAGCAAACAGG